GCAGUGCGAAGGGAAGUAGUGCCCCCUCUUCCUUUUUUUUCUCCUCGAUUAUCAACGUCGCUGCAUUCGCAGGAAAAAAAAAAGGCUCGUUGCUAAAGCUAUCUUUCGCCGUAGCUUCUGUAGCUCUCUCUCUCUCAUUUUAUUUUGUUCCCCUCCACCUCCCCUUACUAGCAGACAUUCCGCGCCGCAGAAUGCGUCGUGUCACUUGCCAUGCAUUCGUGCGCUGUGCGCAACCCGCGGCGGCACUCACGCCUGUGCGUACCAUUAUUGCCGCCAAGGGCAUCGUAGAAAACCGUAUCACCAAGCACUACACCAACCGCACUGUCGACGAGUCCAAGGCGGAGCGAGCGGAAAGCAUGAAAAAGACGCUCCACCCCAAUCCGCGCAACCGCAAGGAGGAGCUUAGCCACCUCACCCAGCACUGCAGCUACGAGUACGUGCCGGAGUUUCAGCGGUGGGCGAAUGAUAUGAUGGCCGUAUACAGCGAUCCGCAGGGGUACGGGCACGAUAUGGCGUAUCACUACCAGCGCAUCUGGAAGGCGAAGAGCUUGACGCGCCGUGGCGUGGAGGAUGGCAGCGGCGCCUUCGAUGUGUGCCGCGUCCAUCCGCAUUGACAAGGAAAACGUGAGGAACAAAGUCGCUGUGGAUCGGCAUCACCGCAGGAACAUCCGCGCUACAUCAGCACCGAUGCUCUGCGAGCGAUGACGACGGUGACUGUUUUGGUCACGCAUCCAUCAUGCGCGGACGGAACUCGUUUUUGUAUCAUACAGCUUCUCUUCUUGCUGCUUCCGCGCGCUGGUGCACUCCUUGUGUGAUACAUGCCGUGUGCGCAUAGGUGUGUGUGUGUGUGUGUGGGUCUACUUGUUUGGUGAGCAGUUCCCCGUAAACUCGCACACGAGCUCACCCUGCUUUUCCUUUCCUGGUUCUGCCGUCUGUUGUAGUCCAUUUAGUUUCUCGCAGUAGGUAGGCUUUCCGUUAUUAGUCCUUUGAGUGUUUUUUUUUUUCAAGAUUGACCUUGCUCUUCAUAUAGCCUCUACUGUCCUUUCCCCUCGACAAUCCCUGCUCCGUUGCGAGCCCGCCGGCUGCCCUCCCCCCCCCCCCCGCUCUUUGCUCGUGCGCGUGCCAACGCUUUCUUUAUUUUCGUUUCCCCCGCGAGUCGGGAAGGGGUGCAACGGCUUGGGGCCGACUACCUCCGUUUGAGCAGGUAGGAAGAAUCUGCAGGCGUGUACGCCGAUGUGCACGCAUGUACGUGGCUUGGGUCGCAAGCCAACGGAUAAAGAUUCCAAGCGCCAUGCCGAAAGGACGAAAAGAAAAGGAGAGGAUGAAUAGUGGCAUGGCACGGUGACCGGAUACAGCGGGCAAGCUACUUUGCCGUCUCUCAUGAGCCUGCUAUGAUGGUGACGCUCUGAUGCUGAAAAAAGAAUCUCGAGUUCGCUAAGUCGAACCAAACAGU
rnacentral:misc_RNA from 1 species